AGCGGUCUGGAGCGGUUUUCGAGCCACUCUCUCAAGGUGGAGGCACGGGUUCGAACCCCGUUGGGGCUGCCA
rnacentral:tRNA from 1 species